CAUGGUGACCCCCAGCUCAUUAUGGUAACCCCCAUCCCAUCAUGGUGGCCCCCAGCUCAUCACAGAGAUCCUGGCUGUAUACUGAGGCUGUGCCACCAGGAGUACCUGUCACUCCCAGUAAAUCCUGGGGUGCCAGGAAAAGCCUCUUCCCAAGUUCCCAUGCGGUGGCAUGCAGCAGAGCAGUGGUGCCCUCCCCACCCCCAUGGCUUGCGGCUGCUCCAGAAGAUGCAUUUGACCCAGACUUGCACGGCCGUUGCCAUGGCAACGGCUGCGGGAUGCGAGAUGCGGGUGACUGCGGGUGCAGGGAUGCACGGUGAUGGGCCCUGUGUUGCUGCUGGUGUGCCCCAUGACUGGGUUGCACCCAGGUCUGUCUUCACCCCAGGUCUGGAUUCACCUCAUUCCCAGUCCACAGUGCACCAGCAUGUUCAUGCUGCAUUGCACAUGUGUGUGCAAGCACGGACAUGAGCACUGGUGGGGAUGACAGUGCUAAGGGGAGCAGCACGGCAGGGAGAGGCGGGGCAGCUGGAGACGGAGCCACUCACCCCUUUAUCAGGGCUGGGCUGCCAUAAAGCCAGCGCUGUUUGCAUUGGUGGGGCUGCGCUGGCGUUACUGGCCCGACUCUGCUUUGUCUCCGUGUUAACUUUUAA